GUGAGGAAUUUUCCGCAAUGGGCGAAAGCGUGACGGAGCGACACCGCGUGAUGGAUGAAGUCCUUCGGGGCGUAAACAUCUUUUAUAAAGGAGGAAAUUUUUGACGUUACUUUAUGAAUAAGGGGCUCCCAAUCUCGUGCCAGCAGGAGCGGUAAUACGAGAGCCUCAAGCGUUAUCCGGAAUCAUUGGGCGUAAAGGGUGCGUAGGUGGUUUGAUUAGUCUCCCGUUAAAACUUCGAGCUUAACUCGAAAAGAGCGGGGGAAACGGUCAAACUAGAGUAUGUGAGAGGUGUGUGGAACUCAUGGUGUAGGGGUGAAAUCCGUUGAUAUCAUGGGGAACACCAAAAGCGAAGGCAGCACACUGGAACAUCACUGACACUGAGGCACGAAACCUAAGGUAGCGAAUGGGAUUAGAAACCCGGGUAGUCC
rnacentral:rRNA from 1 species